rnacentral:rRNA from 1 species
UACGGAGGAUCCGAGCGUUAUCCGGAUUUAUUGGGUUUAAAGGGUGCGUAGGUGGAUUGGUAAGUCAGUGGUGAAAGUUUGCAGCUUAACUGUAAAAUUGCCGUUGAAACUGCCGGUCUUGAGUGCAAAUGAGGUAGGCGGAAUGCGUCGUGUAGCGGUGAAAUGCUUAGAUAUGACGAGGAACUCCUAUUGCGAAGGCAGCUUGCUGGGUCGUUACUGACGCUGAUGCUCGAAGGUGCGGGGAUCAAACAGGAUUAGAUACCCU